AGUCGCACACCUGCUUGAGGUGCUCAAUUACCAGUUCAUGGUGAGCGAGUGAAACGGGAAGAUUGGUGUGAAUCCAACGCUGCCCCCGCAACGGUAAGCAAGUAAAGUUUGUCAUCCUCGCCACUGUGCAUUCAGCAUGGGAAGGCCGUCAAACUAGGGUAAAUCCCAACUUGUGAGCCCGGAGACCGGCCUGAAGCAAAUGUUGUAA
rfam:Oleiphilus sp. HI0065 HI0065_c16, whole genome shotgun sequence.